UCGUUGGGCUUCGGCCCAUUCGAGAUAAUACCCUUGCCUUUUUGAGUACCUUUUCGUUUCCUCGGCAGGCUCGCCUGCCAACGGGGACCCUUCAAAACGCCUUGUAAUACCUGUAAUUGUCUGAUAUAACAAGCAAAAAUUA
rnacentral:misc_RNA from 1 species